GUUAUUUGAGGUGGGAAAGGUUCCCCACGCGCUAUCCAAUGGGUAGUUACCAGAGAUCAGGAGUGCCGCCCUGCUAAUAAC
rnacentral:ncRNA from 1 species